GUUUGCACUUGUCGGGGAAGGGUGAGAACCUUCGAUUAAGGUUCGACUCGAGCGAAAGCGAGAGAACGUUGCCAACGGCAACGGCCCGAAGGGUAAGGAGCGAAGCGACGAAUAAUCCUUCCCCCACCACCA
rnacentral:sRNA from 2 species